AGUGUGCAGGGGAUGCAUCAUCAUUUGAAAGUGCAAAUGAGUGUUCGUGUUUGCGUGUGUUUCGAAAAUAUACGCAAAUGGUUGAACUACAUCAAAAUCGCUUCCAGUAGUGCAAAGAUGGCAGUACUGCAAGUUGACAAACAAUUCCAUUAUGCCAGCACUAGGUGGUAGUGACAUCGCAGUUGUAUCGGUAUCAGACAUCGUCUAGCUACAGUAUACACGCAACGCAAGCGGACUACAGCAUUGACCAUAAAUUAGUGAAUAGGAACGAAAGGAUGCUCAAUAAAGCUGUACAUCAUCAACAGACACUACCAAACACAUUCUUGUCACUGAAGCUUACAUUUGAAGGAUGUUUUUGUGGUUGAGAUGGUGCAGGAUGCAGACGGAAUUGCACACAA